GAUGAAAAUCUGUAAUAACUUGCAAGGUUUCUGAGAACGUAUCUCCAUUAUCUAGACCAAGAAGAGGCAAUAAAGCUAAUAAUAAAAUUAGGUUUUCUUGAUAAAAUAUUCACAUAAAAUAUUCUAAUUUAAACCAAUUUUGAAACCUACAAUGAAAAAACUAUCAAAAUAUUAAAUACCUAACUAUUGUCAAAGUAAUUUACCAUAAAAACUCUAAUAGGAAAUAUUAGUUUGCUGCAUAACAUUUUGCGUAAAUAUUGGCAUAGAAGAAAUCGAGUAAUUUAACCGAGACUGUUGAACAAAUGCAUAACAUCAGACCUAAGUCAAUGGCGCAUGGGAUCCAACCUCAUUAGAAAGGUCCAGGAUGUCUAAGUCUCCACCAUCAUAGUCCAGGACCGCUUGGCUUUCACCACGCAAGUCCAGGAUCUCCCAGCCUCUAUCAUCCCUGUCUCUCAGCCUCGUUCACACCUGUGGGGGAUCUCUUAGCGUCCACGCCUCUCCAGUCUACCCAGCUUCUAACCUACACAAAUCCUCCAACAAACAACGAUGGUCGAGCAAACUCUGGGGAUCCUUCACGGUCCACAAAAUGGUGACUAGUUGAGAGAGCUGUCUCCUUAUUCCCAGUUCCAUACCGAGUAACUUGUCGGUCUCAACCCUGCAACAUCGACCUACAUCGUCGCCUUGUACAUGCAGCUGGCUUGCCAACAGGCAUACUGUGUUGGCAUACUGGCCUUCCAUGCUCUACUUCCAGCAUACCGCAUUUGUUCUAAGUGAUCUCCACUGGUUUAAUGGCAUUUUAAACUAGGACAGACCCCUGCUCCUUUCACCCGCCCGUCUCAUACAAUUCCGAUGGCCACUGUGCCUCUCCCAACCCUUGCAUCUCUGCCAGAUCCCUCUCCGCGCCAGCCUCUUUUUAAUCAUCCAGCUCUCGCGUUACCAGUAGCCAGCCCAAUGUCCUAUCAAGACACAUCUCUUCCAUAUCCUUCAAUCCUGGCUGACAUCACUCAGUCCACUCUGCCGGCCUCUACACUAUUCCCCUCCCCCGCCACUAACCCCAUCUUCCCGCUACAGAUGAGGGUUACAACGGACUGCAGGUGAUGAGUCUACACCGGGAGCUGCCACCGCCCUAUCAGCCCUACCAACCGUCAGGAGAGGCGCGUUACAUCCCGGACGAAGACUACAUCGCGCCCGCGCUCUUCAACCCGCCGUUCCCAGUCCAGCCUACCCGGUCCCACUCUUCCAGCAACUAUCUCACCAACUCUAACACCAACUCCGAGACUCACGCCACAGAACACGCCAACUCUCGCUCUCCUGUGGAGAGUGAAGGGCCCGACUUCCGCUAUGAUGACGGCACCAAGACUGACUGUGUAAUGGGCGAGUGGGGCCCGUGGUCGCCCUGUACCCACUCCUGCGGCCCCGAGGCUCUCCAGCAACGCUCCAGAAACAUUAUCGUCCAACCACGCAAUGGGGGAGUAGAGUGUGGUGACCGCUACGAGAGGCGCUACUGUACCUUGCCUCCGUGUCCCCAUCCCAGGUGGGACACCUGGAAUGAUUAUAAGAGCCGUUGGUUGACAUUUCGUUAACAAAAUCACUAAGGAAACCCCCAAAGGUUGAUGUGAGCGCGUGCGGACGCGCUUCUGCUCUCCACCACCCUUUUGUUCCGAGUCUCUGAAUCUACAACCACAACAACCAUCUGCUGCUGCUACAACCUCGUGAACAACGAUUACACAACACCUGAGAUACAAUGUAAAACAGAUGUACUAUGUAAAACAGCUGCAAUACAGUGUAAAACAGCUGCAGCGUAAUACAAAAUAACUUGUGUAAAUAAACGGCAAUACAGUAUCAACAACUACAAUUUAUUAUAAACAGCUGUACCAUUUACACAGCUGUAGUGCAAUGUAAAUAUCUGAAAUAUAAGCUUUAAUAUAAACAGCUGCUGUAUAAUAUAACCAGCUGCAUUAGUGCAGUUGGAAUACAAUGUAAAGAACUGCAGUACAAUGUAAACAGUUGGAAUACAAUGUAAAGAACUGCAGUACAAUGUAAACAGUCUGUAAUAGAAUCAGGAAUGAAAGUAAAACUUUGGGCAGUGUGAAACAAAAAAUUGAAUAAAUGAUUAUAAAUUACCAAUAUAAGGGAGGAUCAAACAAUCAACCUCUUAGUACAUGCAAAACAAACCAAUUGAACAGUAAACAACAUGCAAACAAACAAAUCUUGAAAAUUCAACAACCUAUAAUCAACACACUUCAUGAUCAUUGUCUGCCUAACCUCUGGCAAGGCUUUUAAGUAAGGUUAAAUCAAUUUUAGGCAAGGUCAGAGGUCAAAUAUAUCAAUCAAGUGGUAUGAACUGCCAUCGAAGUCAAUCGAGGUUGAAGCCUGGUUAAAUGAAAAAGACUAUUUGGUGAACCUAAGUCAUUCGUGUUCACUUGAACUUUAAUCCAAGUCAUCUAUAUGUGGCAUUAGGUCGAGUAUAGUAAGGUCAAGAAGUUUGCUUGAAUGAGGAGUUAGGAAAGCAAAGUCUAUUUAGGACAUUUAACAUUGUAGGUCACCUUCGAGUGUAGUAAAGUCAAAUGUGUGUCCUUUAGCUCAUUUGGAGUGAACGAAUAUCGUUCAUCACAAUUACUUAUAAGUGGAGGGAAAGCUGGUAUUUUCCACCUAAUUGACUUAGGAAUGGAGUUGGAUCCAGAUGGAAUUGUAAUUAGGUCAAGCCCAGCAAAGGACCAUCUUGGAAUGGAGUUGGGACCCGCUAGGUCAUCCUGGAGUGGAUAUGGGACUAGCUAUAUGUCACCUGGGAGUGUCCCCAGGGUCUUCUUAGAUCACCUUGGAGUGGCCCUGUGUCUAGUUAGGUCUAUAGUGGCCCUGGGUCAAGUUAGGCCAGCUUGGAGGUGAAGGGACGACGACGUUUCGGUCCAUCCUGGACCAUUCUCGAGUCGAUUGAUUCCAAGACAGCUUGGAAUGGACCUGGGGUCAAGUUUGGUAACCUGGAACUCUAGUGAAUAUAAGUUGCUGCAUUGCCCUCAAACUCGUCUUCCUGAGGCCAUGAUUCCGAGAGGGGAGGGGGCCUGACUUAACUACGAUGGUCGAGUCAUCAUCUCAGGCCAUUAGACUGGCUUGCGUAUCGCCAGUUUUUGUACAUGAAACGAUAAGUAAUUUGUACUACGCAGUUUCUGUUGCAUAUACAGUAUAUAUAUGAUUUGUACAUAAAAGGGAGAGGCUGUUCUCGCCCAUUUCUAGAGAGUGUAAGGAUGUUAUGUAGAGUGUUUGUGUGUGAAUGCACUACAAAUAAUCCGAUUGUAGGUUAUGAGUGGUCCAACUAAUUUACUAAUAUUAGGUUAUAUGAGGCCCCAUGUUGAUACACUGUAGGUUGUGCGUCUCCCCCAACUAAUAUACUUAUCGUAGGCUAUGUAUAGUUCUACUAACACAUUGUAGGAUGUGGCGCCCUACUGAUAUACCCAAUGUGGGUUAGUGUGACCCAACUAAUACAUUCACUGUUGGCUACAUAUCACCGUACCAACAACAGGAUUAUGACAGACAACUGUCCGAAUCUUUAUGACAGAAAACUAUCCGAAUCUGUGAACAAAUAUCGAGGCGUAUUAUUGCUUGUAUAUGAAAGACGAACAUUAUCAUAAAGCUCUGAAGCUCUUCAUUAGAAACUAUUUAAAUCUGUUUCUUGGGUCAGCACAAGAACUACUAUGGUUUAGAAAAUAAAUACUUUUUCAUAAAUAUUUGUAAAUGAUUCAUAUACUGUAAUCAUAUAACUGAAAACUCAAACCCCAGAAGUGACUCGAACCCAUACUGCCAGGAGCACUUUGCAACCGGUGUACAGGGCACCUAAUCAGUUUCAAAGUGCUCCUGGCAGUAUGGGUUCGAGUCACUUCUGGGGUGUGAGUUUUCAGUUGCAUGUAUGCCUGGGGACCAUUCAGGCUUGUUCGCAUAUAAUCAUAUAUAUAAAAAUUUAACCACGAAGAAAAAAUGAAACCCAGAGUUGAUUAGAGCGCGGUCAUGUUAAUCAACAUCUUACCAAAAGUACAAAUCACUGAAAAUUAUACCAACACAAAAAGGCAGGAAGGUUAGGUGCAAAACAACGUUUCUGUAAUAUUGGUACAUGAACCUCUGUAGUUUCCUUUUGUACUUUAUGGCUAUUACAGUGCAAGAUGUUGAUGAAGAGAUUGAUUGACGGAAGAUUAGGCAAUCCAAGAGGUGGCAUGGGCAUGAAUAGCCCGUAAUUGCACUCGUAUCCAUGAACCAAUAUAUUACAAAGACUGUUUUACACCUAACCUUCCUGCCUUGUGUGCGAGUAUAAUUUCACUUAUUGUAUUAUUCACUUAUUGUGUAUUGUACUUUGGUAAGGAGAGUUACAGCCCCGCUCCUGUGCCAGGCAAGUCCACUCCGGGCUCACCAUAGCCCGUGCUACUUGCAACUUGCAACUUUUUGUUCCCAGUUGCUGAAUCUUAAACACCAACUUUGGUAAGGUGUUAACAUGAUAGAAAAAUGAAACCAGAGUUUUAGCGCUCUCUGGACUGAGGGGUAAAGAUGGGGUGUUGGGGGAGGGGGGAGGGGGGAGGGGGGGGGAUAUUUUGUUCAGCAUUCUGCAACUUGCUAAAUAUAUUCCGUUAUCUUGUUUUCUUUAUUUUUGUCUUUCACAACAUCUUUGCUCUUAUGUUUAUUUAACUCUUCAUUCACUUCAACCUUAUUUUUUGUCAUCUCAUCUUUUCAGCUUAUUCCUUCAUUUGCUUCUGCUUGUCUUCAUUUUCUUUCGUGUUUUUAUUAACUUGCAUUUAACCCUACUUCCUCUUUCCCUUCUCCUCUAAUCCUGCUGCUCCCUCUUUCUCUGUUCCCAAUGUCUUUCCUCUGACCCUUCACAUUAGUUUCAUUCAAAUUUCCUCAUGUAAUCUCAUGACGUUUAAUCUCCGUACCAUAAAAUGCAGCAAAUACAUUAUUGCAUAAAAAAAAUUAUUACUGAACAAGUUUUACCAAUAAAAGGUCUCAAUUAACAACUUUGAUCAAUAAUAUAC